GGCAAGUUAAGACUAAGUGCAUAAUAAUCACACAAAAUUUAAUUUUGAAGUAAGCUAAUAUAUCAAUAUCCAAAUAAAGUUGAGACAUAACAACAAAAGAUACAUAUUCAGCUUUGCAAGAAUAGAGAUGGUCAGAAUAUUUGGAGGAUACUCACAAAUUUGUUUUCUCUUUCCUGGAUCGCGCUUAAUAUCAUUUGGAUUAAAUCCAAUGGCAAUGUUAGGAGUUGGUGGUGCCUCCACUUCUAUUUCCGGUUGCACGCCAUUCCCAUUUUC
rnacentral:lncRNA from 1 species